AUUGAACGCUGGCGGCGUGCUUAACACAUGCAAGUCGAGCGGUAACAGGCGUAGCAAUACGUGCUGACGAGCGGCGAACGGGUGAGUAAUGCUUCGGAAUCUUCCUCGUAGUGAGGAAUAACCUGGGGAAAUUCAGGCUAAUACCGCAUACGAACUACGGUUGAAAGCGGGGGAUCGCAAGACCUAGCGCUAUGAGAUGAGCCGAAGUCGGAUUAGCUAGUUGGUGAGGUAAAGGCUCACCAAGGCGACGAUCCGUAGCUGGUCUGAGAGGACGACCAGCCACACUGGGACUGAGACACGGCCCAGACUCCUACGGGAGGCAGCAGUGGGGAAUAUUGGACAAUGGGGGCAACCCUGAUCCAGCGACGCCGCAUGUGUGAAGAAGGCCUGCGGGUUGUAAAGCACUUUUAGUGGGGAUGAAAAGCCGAGGGCUACUACUCUUCGGUCUUGACCUAACCCAAAGAAAAAGCACCGGCUAACUCUGUGCCAGCAGCCGCCGUAAAAC
rnacentral:rRNA from 1 species